rnacentral:Y_RNA from 2 species
AGCUGGUCUGAGUUCAGUGGUGUUUACAACUAAUUGAUCACAACCAGUUACAGAUUUCUUUGUUCCUUCUCCACUCCCGUUGCUUCACUUGACUAGCCUUUA